CCUCUUUUAGUUUGCUGAGAAUGAUGGCUUCCAGCUUCAUCCAUGUCCCUGCAAAGGACAGGAACCCAUUCGUUUUUAUGGUUGCAUAGUAUUCCGUGGUAUAUACGUGCCACAUUUUGUAUACCCACUGUAUCAUUCAUGGGCAUGAGAUAUCCUCUUAACAUGUGAUCCAGCAAUUGCACUCUUCGGUAUUUAUCCAAAAGAGUUGAAAACUUGUGUUCACAGAAAAACCUGCACAUGGACAUUUAUAGAAGCUUUAAUCAUAAUUGCUAAUUUUAUUCCAGCUUUAUUCAUAAUUGCUCAAACUUGGAGGCAACGAAGAAACCAAAAUGUUCUUCACUAGGUGAGUGGAUAAAUAACCUGUGAUAUAUCCAAACAAUGGAAUAUUCUUUAGCACUGAAGGGAAGUGAGCUGUCAAGCCAUGAAAAGACACGUAGGAACUUUAAACAUGCACGGCUACACAAAAGAGGCCCCUCGGAAAAGACUAAAUACUGUAAGCUUCCAACUAAAGGACAUCCCGAAAAAGGCCAGACUAUGGAGUGAAAAUGUCCGUGCUUCCCAGGUGUUGGGAAGAGGGAGAGAUGAGGAGGUGAAACACGGAGAUUUUUAGGAUUUUAGUGCAACUGCUCUGUACGAUGCUAUCAUGGUGGAUACAUGUCAUGACAUAUUUGUUCAAACCCAUAGAACAAGCACCAAGACGGAGCCCUCAUGUAAACUGUGGACUCUGGGUGACAAUAUGUCAACGUAGGUUCUUCAAUUAUUACAAAUGCUCCUUCUGGGCAGGAGUGUUGUUAGUUGGGGAGGCUGUGCACGUGGGGGAAGGGAAGGCAUAUAGAAGGUCUCUCUGCACCUUUCCCUCAAUUUUUCUGUGAACGUGAAACUGCCUAAAAGAUAAAGUGUAUUUUUAAAAAACAAAGGAAAAAAAGGAAACAAAAAGUCCUCACAAAAAUCAAAUGAGAAAAUGAUCACACUGGGUGCUUCAGGUCAAAAUGGAAGAACAAGGGCUGUAUUCACCAUCCCACCUGAUUUUUUUCUCACUGCUUUUCAGCAUUUUUUUUGGAGUCUAGUCAGUGCAAUAAGGCAAGUUGAAAUAUAUAAAAUGCACGCUUAUUAGAAAAUAAGAUUUAAAACUAUCUGUACCUUCAGGUGAUGUGAUCACCUGUGUGGAAAAUCUCCUGAAAUCACAAAAAGCCACUAAAACUGAUAAUAAUAAAUUACUUCCUAAUAAGUGAGUUUGGAAAGUUUGCAAGAUACAAGCUAAACACACAAGCAAUAUUUAUCUCUUUAUACACUGGCAAAGAAAUAAUUGGAAAUGGAAAUUUACAAAGCAAUAUUAAGACUAAAUCUGACAAAAGAUGUGUAAGAUCUAUACACUGAAAAGCAGGCAGUGAUGCUGAGAUAAAGAAAUAAAUGAAGUGAUAUACUGUGUUCAUGGAUCAGCAGGCUCAAUAUUGUUAAGAUGUGAGUUCUGCUCUUGUGGAUCAGAGGUUUAAUGCAAUUCCAAUCAAAAUCCCAGCAUCAUUUUAUUUUUAUUUUUUUUCCAGUAGAAAUGAACUAGCGGAUUCCAAAAUGUGUCCGGAAAUUUAAAGGACCCCAAAGAGCUAAGACAACUUGGAAAAAAAGGUGGAGGACUUACCUGAACUAUCAAGAUAGUGUGGUAUUGGUAUAGUAAGAGAAAACUGGGUUAAUGAAACCUCCUAGAGGGUCUAGUAAUAAUCUCACAAACAUGUUACAUAUACGUAGUGGAUUUUUGAAUAAAGGUUCAAAGACAUUAAAUUAGAGAAAGGACGAUAAUGAUGAUAGAAGGAUUAAAUACCAUAGGCUAAAAAGAGAAAAAAGAGCUCCUGCUAAAUAUUUUCACAUUGUUGGUGUCACUCAUGCAAUUCAAUUCACAUUUUGCGUGUCUAAAAGUUGAACAGACCUCUUCAUUCUCUUUCCCCAAUUCACUCCACAGAGAUGCUGAUGUCUUUCAGUGGAACUUGGAGGUUUGCUCUUCUUUUUAAAAUGACUCUUAGAUACUGUUUAUGCAAGAAGUUAUGGGACUAUAACUUACAAAUACUGUUCUAAACCUUGGAAUCACAUAUUCUCCUUUUUCUCUACUUAUCGUUUCUAAUCAGUUUCCCAUUUCCUCUUUCUCCUUCAUAUUUACACUGCAUUCCUUUUAGUUCAGGUUCUUGUUACCCCACUUGAUCUCUUGAUGUGGUCACCUGAAUGUCCUUCGUGUUCCAGCCUCCUGGAAUCCUUCCUUCAUGACUCUGCAGAACUGCCCUCCAGACCCGCAGGUGUGACCCGGAAUCAAGGAUCUCAAAGCCGAGUGGGAUCUGAAAGGCUAUCUAGACCAAUCCUCCAUUACAGACGUAAACCUUUUGAUGACUUCACUUCAGAGCCCAAAAUAUUUGCACUGCAGGCAGAAUCACCUAAAUCACUUAAUGUGAUGUUCAGUCUUCCCGUGGUAUUUUCCUAUCUGCAUCUCCCUACUUUCGCCCCUGAACCGUGAAGUUCCCGGGGUCCCUGGCCAGUGACUUGCUGAAGCCUCCCUCUCCAGGACCUCGGGAAAGAGGCACCCUACUCGAAUGCAUGCUUCUCCAGGAAUAUUUGCUCUGGUAAUAGCUGAAAAUAAAAAGCCAUCUCUAACAGUUUGAUUGCAGGUGGGUGGCCCCGGGGCAAGUGACUUUGGGAAGAUGGGGCUGGCUUGCGCCCUGUGUCCUGACUUUUCUUCUGAGCCUCUGCAAAACCACUUUUGAGAAAAUCGGGGUGGGUACUCCUGCGUGGCAUUUUCUUCUAAGUGAAAAUCUGUAGAAUUCCGGCAGUUGCGGGAGCUGGGGUUUUCUGUCACGACCUUGUGGGUUCAGGGGCUGCCCUUCUGUGGCCUGGGGCCUGUUUCUUAUCCAGACUUACCCAGACUCUUCUUAUCCAGAAGAGUCAGGUGCCUGGCCAGUGAACUGCCCAACUCCAAUUUGUAGGUCGCUCGUAUCGACCUAAAAUGAAAUUAAAAUAAUAAACUCUAAAACAUCC